rnacentral:rRNA from 1 species
UACGGGGGGAGCAAGCGUUGUUCGGAUUUACUGGGCGUAAAGGGCGCGUAGGCGGCUUUUCAAGUCGAUUGUGAAAUCCCCGGGCUUAACCUGGGAACUGCAGUCGAGACUGUCUAGCUAGAGUAUGGGAGAGGGAAGUGGAAUUUCAGGUGUAGCGGUGAAAUGCGUAGAUAUCUGAAGGAACAUCAGUGGCGAAAGCGACUUCCUGGACCAAUACUGACGCUCAUGUGCGAAAGCGUGGGGAGCAAACAGG